GGGGCUUAGCUCAGCUGGGAGAGCGCUGCGUUCGCAACGCAGAGGUCGAGGGUUCGAAUCCCUUAGUCUCC
rnacentral:tRNA from 2 species